UUGGUUCCAGGAGUUGAAGUUUGACA
rnacentral:piRNA from 1 species